UACGUAGGUGGCAAGCGUUGUCCGGAAUUAUUGGGCGUAAAGCGCGCGCAGGCGGUCUUUUAAGUCUGAUGUGAAAGCCCCCGGCUCAACCGGGGAGGGUCAUUGGAAACUGGGAGACUUGAGUGCAGAAGAGAAGAGUGGAAUUCCACGUGUAGCGGUGAAAUGCGUAGAGAUGUGGAGGAACGCCAGUGGCGAAGGCGACUCACUGGACACAUAUUGACGCUGAGGUGCGAAAGCGUGGGGAGCAAACAGG
rnacentral:rRNA from 1 species